rnacentral:rRNA from 1 species
AUUGAACGCUGGCGGCAUGCUUUACACAUGCAAGUCGAACGGCAGCGCGGGGCGACCUGGCGGCGAGUGGCGAACGGGUGCGUAAUAUAUCGGAACGUACCCAGAAGUGGGGGAUAACGUAGCGAAAGUUACGCUAAUACCGCAUACGAUCUACGGAUGAAAGUAGGGGACCGCAAGGCCUUAUGCUUUUGGAGCGGCCGAUAUCUGAUUAGCUAGUUGGUGAGGUAAAGGCUCACCAAGGCGACGAUCAGUAGCUGGUCUGAGAGGACGACCAGCCACACUGGAACUGAGACACGGUCCAGACUCCUACGGGAGGCAGCAGUGGGGAAUUUUGGACAAUGGGCGCAAGCCUGAUCCAGCAAUGCCGCGUGAGUGAAGAAGGCCUUCGGGUUGUAAAGCUCUUUUGUCAGGGAAGAAACGGUAGAGGCUAAUAUCCUUUGCUAAUGACGGUACCUGAAGAAUAAGCACCGGCUAACUACGUG